CAUAUAUACCUUCAAACUAGAGAUGUGUAUGAGCUCAGUCAAUAAUUUAUUGUGUAUGUACGUAUGUGGUUCUUUGGAUUGAGAAGAUUGUGUGAAUUUCAUUACACACUUUUGGUUUACAACUUACAACAAUUUGUUCCCAUCCGUACAGAUUGGUGGUGAAUAUGCUUCUCUUUUAUUAUUUGCCAUACACAUGGUGCACAGUUUGCUUUCUAUGAAGCGUUUACAAAAUAAAAGUCAGAUCAACAAAGUGUUUUCCCUUUCACGUCCAAACUAGUGAAUAGCUUCUUAUUAAGAUUUUGAUAAAUGAAAAUACUUUUCAUCCUCCUCUGCCACGUCGUCUUCCUACAAUUCAUUUUCUAAUCACCCUUUAUUUAUUUGCAUUCCUCAAUGGUAUGCCAAUUAGUCUCAAACGUCAUCCUUCCAACGGCGAAUAUAAUUUAUUUUGACAAGCUUGACAUGAACAAAUUACUCAAACACAACCUCAAACCGCUACCAGAAGCUGAAAACUCCAGUUUUGACUGUUCAAAUAAUUUACGGAAAUUUUUGCUCGUUACAUUUAAAAACAAACCUCAAUGAGCAAAAGUUACACCGCUAUUUGACAGGAUGGUUUUUACUCUUUAAAAUGGUGUGCCAAUGGACAGGGGUGCACACGAAAAGGAAAUGAAAACUACUUCUUGUCGGAUUAUGUGAUAAAUGUCUUACUAAACUUAUUAUAGGGCUAAACUUUGUAAAAUGCAUACAAGAAGUAAAUACAAUGAGGUAUCAAAAAUUACAUAAGAAAAAUUAGAGCACUUAUUCCAUCAAUUAGCUACAAAGGUCCUGAUUUUUUUAUCUGAUUGAAUAAUUUUUGGCAUGAAAUCAAUCAAAAUUGUGACAGCACGCACUUCCCACAGCCGUUGUAAAAUGCAUGGCAAACAAGUUACUUCCCAAGUUGCUAAUAAAAAGUGAUAGGAUUGCAGAUCGAGCGUGGAUCGAGCUUAUUCCAGUUUAUCAAGGAAACUCAUUGGGAUCCAAGUUGGUCGGUAGGUUAGGAUGUUACGCUGACUAAUGGUGUAUGGAAACAUUAAAAAGACUCACACUUUUAAAAUGUCAUCAUCAAAAAGCAUUGUAUUUUAAGAGGUUUUGGUGAUGUGCGACCAAGAAAGAAAGAGGAAGAGGAGAGUCCCCAAACCACAAAGCCCACAACACCGGACUAUAAAGUUCUACGUGAUUAGUGCUAUCAAGAUUAUUGAGAAAAAGAAUUAGCAACACUGCACGAUGACCACGACGACGACGACGACGACUCGUCUCAGUAGGUAGGACAGAAGAGAGUUACUUCCUCUAUUGAAUUAUUUAUACGGACCUUUGCCAACUCUCUGAAGUGCAAGAUGUCCCUGGUGUGUAUCACAUUACUAAAAAUCAAGAUGCUUCAUGAGAUUUUACAUAUUCCUUAACAUGAACACUUUUAUCUUUUGGAUCAACGAACUACUGCUGGCUUUUCAGACCGCUACAAAAACAGAUUGAGAAGUCCAUGCACAAUUGCAAACAUUAUUAAGAAAAUUAAAAAAAACUAGUACAGUGGUCGACAGUAUGUAAUUUUAUUUUAUGUCGUUGUUAAGAUGUGUGUACUUACAUUUUUAGUCCCUGUGACACCGACCACUCUCUCGUUAUUUAUUAUCACAAUGAAUCUAGUAUAUCCCGUUAUCUUGUUCCCAAAACUGCAGGGACGACAAGUGAGCAAUUGGGCUCGGAAUUGUGGGUCGAUGAAGAAGUCUCAUAUUCCUCAAAAAUGAUAAUUUCUAAUCACCCUCACAAUUGUGCCGCAGGGGAAUGCGUAGCAAGGACGACGAC